UACGAAGGGGGCUAGCGUUGCUCGGAAUCACUGGGCGUAAAGCGCACGUAGGCGGCUUCUUAAGUCAGGGGUGAAAUCCUGGAGCUCAACUCCAGAACUGCCUUUGAUACUGAGGAGCUUGAGUCCGGGAGAGGUGAGUGGAACUGCGAGUGUAGAGGUGAAAUUCGUAGAUAUUCGCAAGAACACCAGUGGCGAAGGCGGCUCGCUGGGACGGUACUGACGCUGAGGCGCGAAAGCGUGGGGAGCAAACAGG
rnacentral:rRNA from 1 species